GCCUGGAAAUCCUGCCUAGCUAUUGGCCAUUCAGCUUUUUAUUAAACCAGUCAGAGUGACACAUCUUCACAUUGUACAAAAAGAUUAUUCCACAACAGUCUCUUGUAGCUCAGGUUGCCCUGGAACUUGCCAUGAUAUAGCCAAGGAAGCUCCUUAACUCCUGAUCUUAAACCACAGAAGUUCACUACACACUGUGUUCUGAAGCUCCAUACUUUUCUUUCCCUCAUUUCUCCCCUGAGAAAGUGACAUUCAAGCUGUGACCUGAUAGAUAAAGAGUAGGACUAGAAGGGGGUGAGAUGCCCUGUAUUUAUCACCUGAAGUUUUAUACAAAGAGCAAAAAUAUUUAGCCACAAAAAGUGUGUGAUAUUCCAGCAGAACUAGACGGUAAGACCUCACUGCUGAAGACACAACAUGCUUUGGCUGCAGGACCCAGUGAAAUCAAGCUGGCACUGAGCUGGGAGUUUCUUCCUUGCCGACUAGGCCUCGUCACACUGGAAAGUGCUAUGCGGGCUGCUGAGGAAGAAAGAGCGUCAACACUCUUGCUCAGCUGUGGACCCACUACAGACCCACUAGACAAGAUGAGUCCACAAGAUAAAUCUGCCACAGGAUAACCAGUUGCUUUCUGAUGGCCCGUGGGGCCUGCUCCAUAGGAAGGAAUUCAUGUCUGGUGUUGUAAACCUGGUCAAAAGCCCAUGUCUCAGAGGCCACGGGCUAGAGGGGGAGCUACUGCUGUUGGCAGCUGAAUGAGCAUGCUAUGCCUGUCCAAUUGUCUUCUAAACAACUACGCUUAUGCCCAUAAAUUAGUGCGGCUCUCAGCCAAGCUCCUUUUGCAACGGGCAGCUGGUAAUGCAGAGACUAACUGGUCGGCGUGCUGAGAAUCAGUGACCACUGAAUGGUCAGCUACAAACUGGGCAUUUCUAGCACCCUGUCCUUGACUCAGGGAGCACUGCGGAGGACAUGGCAGAAAGAACUGGAGAGUCAGAGGGAGGAGCAGAUGGUUUUAAACACUGUCUUCAGGGCGUGAACACAGCCCCUGCACUUCUGAACUCUCAGCAAGCGUGAGUGCUGACACAAGCAUGCACAAACAUGGUCCACCCAAGUCCUCUCUUGAAGCACGAGGAAGCUCACAACGUCCCACCCACCCUGAGAACCUACAGGCAGCUAAUAGUCAUUGGGUGAGCGAGAGACACUUUUUUCAGUGGUGUAGCGACUGGUAAGUUGCCUGUGUUCCUUCCUAAAAACAACCACUCACCUAUGCCCCCAUAAGUAACCCUAGUGAAACUCACCAGGACACACGUGCACCCGCACAUGCACACACAUGCAUCCCAAAAACCGUGAGAGGGGGACACCAGCUGGGAAGAGGAAGGAGAUCAGCGGGAGGACAGAGAGGGAAUUAAGGGACACAUGAUCAAAACAUAUUUUAUUCACGUAGGAAAGUGUCGUAAUGAAACCCAUCACUAAGUCAAUUGAUAUAUGCUAAUUAAAAAACUUUGAGAAAAAGAAAACCACCCUCCAAAAGUGUGAAGGCUCUUGCUGAGAAUACUCCUCCGUUCUCUGUCUUUUCUUUCAGACUUGGUCUGAGCAGAGGCAGCCCAGGACUGAGGUGCACUCUGGGGGAGGUGGUUUGAAUGGUGUGGUUAUUUUCUCUGGGUGAGACUUAGACCUUGGUGCCAGGGAUCUGAGGGUUUCAUGGCAACAACUGCCAGGGCUCCUGGGAAAGUCCCCAGGCAUCUAGAGCCCUGCAGUCUUGGCAGCCCCUGUUCCCCAAAUGGACACGGCAUCAGUCAAGGCCAAGAACCCAGCAAACAGCUGGCGAGCUAUUUUUAAAAUCCAGUGUAAAGUCAUAUACGUAUAAGCCCCAGUGGAUUUCCCUGGGGGAAAUCUCGUCCCUCGAGUAGAAAAUGCUUGAAGUCAAAUAAGGAAAUCUCUAUUUUGAUUCCCAGCAAGGCCAAGUGCAGGGCCCUGCUGCCUACAGCAGCCUGAAGUAACAAAUUGGACUGAUAUAUCUAGAGAAGGAUGUCUUCUCUGUUCCCCCCACACUGGGCACUUCCCACCGCUCCUGCCUCAUACUCGCCUGAACGUAAGACCAGGCGUAGAGAGCCAUACGCCUGUGAUCUCAGCACAUCAGGAGACCAGGAGCUCAAGAUCAUCUACGUGGAGUUUAAGGACACUAAUUACGAAAUCAGAAAUCUCAUCCUUCCUCCAGAACAGGAUGGCCAUGUGCCUCUCUGUUAGUGAAGAGCUCUCGAUUUUAUUAUUGCAAGGCUGCUCACAAAGUCAAGGUAGGACCUCUUUUCACUGGUCUUGUCGGAUCUCCGAGGUUCAUCUCCCUACUUGU